UACGGGGGGGGCAAGCGUUGUUCGGAAUUACUGGGCGUAAAGGGCGCGUAGGCGGUUCGCUAAGUUGGAUGUGAAAACUCUGGGCUCAACCCAGAGCCUGCAUCCAAAACUGGCGGGCUAGAGUUCUGGAGGGGGUAGCGGAAUUCCUGGUGUAGCGGUGAAAUGCAUAGAUAUGCCAUAGAACACCAAUUGCGAAGGCAGCUUACUGGGCCUUGAUUGACGCUGAGGCACGAAAGCGUGGGGAUCAAACAGG
rnacentral:rRNA from 1 species